rnacentral:rRNA from 1 species
CCUACGGGAGGCAGCAGUCGAGAAUCAUUCACAAUGGGGGAAACCCUGAUGGUGCGACGCCGCGUGGGGGAAUGAAGGUCUUCGGAUUGUAAACCCCUGUCAUGUGGGAGCAAAUUAAAAAGAUAGUACCACAAGAGGAAGAGACGGCUAACUCUGUGCCAGCAGCCGCGGUAAUACAUAGGUCUCAAGCGUUGUUCGGAAUCACUGGGCGUAAAGCGUGCGUAGGCUGUUUCGUAAGUCGUGUGUGAAAGGUGCGGGCUCAACCCGCGGACGGCACAUGAUACUGCGAGACUAGAGUAAUGGAGGGGGAACCGGAAUUCUCGGUGUAGCAGUGAAAUGCGUAGAUAUCGAGAGGAACACUCGUGGCGAAGGCGGGUUCCUGGACAUUAACUGACGCUGAGGCACGAAGGCCAGGGGAGCGAAAGGGAUUAGAUACCCCUGUAGUC